rnacentral:rRNA from 1 species
CUCGUAGGCGGUUCGUCGCGUCCGGUGUGAAAGUCCAUCGCUUAACGGUGGAUCCGCGCCGGGUACGGGCGGGCUUGAGUGCGGUAGGGGAGACUGGAAUUCCCGGUGUAACGGUGGAAUGUGUAGAUAUCGGGAAGAACACCAAUGGCGAAGGCAGGUCUCUGGGCCGUUACUGACGCUGAGGAGCGAAAGCGUGGGGAGCGAACG